rnacentral:lncRNA from 1 species
GAGACUUUGGAUUCGGGGGUUGGUUUCGAAUAGGGAAGGUGUUAAGCACCCUAAACGACUUCGGUACUCCGAAAGAACCGCUUACUUAGAUUAUCUUGUGCUAAAUUCAUUUGCUUACUUGAAAAAUUAUUACCUAAAAAUCUAAGUAAAAGAAUGGAGGGAGAAGAAGUAUGUUUUUGGUUGUUUUUAUUUGAUUUGGAAGGACAAGUCCUCUGCCUACGUACCCUUUUGGGAAGGGAUCAAAACCAACGUAGUUCCACUCAAAAAUUUCUUUGGUGGGUUAGGUUGAUUUUAAGAUUUUUUGAAAAUGGUUUUAAGAAGAGAAAGAGGCCUCAAGGCAUGAGAUAAAAGAAAUGAGUGAGGUUGAUUGAUUUUAAAUUUUGAAAAUGAUUGAAGUUGAAUUAAAAUUGAUUGAGAAUUUGAUUAAGAAAAUAAAGGGAAAAUGUUAUUAAGAAAAUGAUUUUUGAAGUUUCGCAUAUUCGAUUUUUUUUUUGAGAAAAUGAUUUUUCUAAACUAACGGUGAAAACUAACGUAACGUCGUAAAAACUAACGGAAAGCGGUAAAUAAAAUGUGGCAGUGUCGGUGCAUGUGUCGGUGCUUGUGUUACCUACAUUAUUACAUCAACUCCUAAAUACAAUCCUAAGGCCUUUAUGCCAAAAUAAAAAUGCAAGAAAUAAAAUUACAUCAAUUCCCUAUUUAUACACACUAAGUCAAUGACAAAAUAAAAUGAUGAGAAAAUUACAUGUGCAUGCUAUGAUUCAAGACAAAAAUUAAAUAGUUAGUAAUCACAAGAAAUAUUAUGAUGAAUAAGACAUAAGAAAUAAUAAGCAAGAAUUUAAGUCAAGCAACAAUUAAAAUCAUCAUAUAGAGAUUAAAAGCAAGUAAUGAAAUGAACAAGAAAAUUUUAAAAGAAAACAAGUAGGAUGAAUUUUUAAAAUUAGAGAAAAUUAAAAUGAUGAGAACAAUAUUUUUUGGAAUUUUUUCUAAGCACAAAAAUGUCAAAAAAAAUGUAAAAAUAGUAUUUAAAAAAAUAAAAGACAAAAAGAAAUAAAAAAAAAAUUAGGCUCAGCAGGAACUAAUCUGGACCGUUGGAUGAAUCCAGAGGUCCAGAUCUGAAUCCCAAGAUUUCAUCACAGCCAUUGGAUCAAAGAUCCAAGGGUUUAAAAAAAACACAAAAUAGAGAAGGAAACAUAGAGAGCACAGCGACCGUCAGAUCAACGAUCUGACGGUUCAAACAGAAAACAUACCACAGUCCACACAGCAGAACACAUACAUAAUUUAAAGACAGAUCAAACAGUGGCCGUCAGAUCAAGGAACGAUCCAGAUCUGAUGGCUACUAACGCGAUGGAGCAUUGUAUGGUUAUGAGUACGCGCGCGUGUGAUCCGGCAAAAAAGAAAUUACUAUAAAAGCAAGUUUAAACAAAAAAAAUCAACACAACUCUAAAACACUUCUCUCUCUAAGUUAAACUUAGAGAGAGAAGCUCUCCCCUCCCUCAAGAAUAACACGGCCGGAGAAGAUGAAGAGAAACAAUCCUCUUCCCUUCCUCUACUCAAAUCUAAACUCAUAAUUUCUAAAACAUGCACCAAAAAUCCUAGAUCUACAAUCUUAGCUUCAAACAAAACUUCAUACAAAAUAACCAAAAACACUAGCAACACUACACAAGAGGUGGAAAGGAUCAAAAGUUACCUCUAAUGGAGAGCUUCACGUUUUUCUCCCCUUUCUCCGGUUCGUUUUGCUCUUCUCCGGUCCGGUCCGGUUUUGAUUGCUUCGGUUCGAUUUUGGCUUGUUUAUGCUUGUUUGUGAUUUGUGUGGUUAUAUGAAUGGAUUUGAGGUUUUGUCAAAGUUUUGGUGUUGCUGGAUUUUUCCUAUGAACCCAUGAAUGUUCUUCUUAAACUCAUGUUAUUUUUUUUUGUACUUUUUUGUGCUUGAUUUGAAAAAGGGUUGGAAAAGUAGAAAAUUAGGGUUUGUGAAUUGAUGCUGAUUUUUUUUUUCUGACAUGAACAGUGAUUUUUUUGGACCCAUUUCUCAAUGAUUGACAGUGUAUUUAUAGUGACAAAAUAGGGUUGGCUCUGGUACAGAUCAAAGACCAAAAUACCCCUGUUGGAGACUUGGGGAUAAAGACUUAACAAAUAAAAAAAAUAAGAAAAAGGAAAAGAAAAGAGGAAGGAAAGAAAGAAAGUUCACGUGACUUUCUUUUCUUUGUUUUUUUUAAAAAAAUAAUAAAAUAAAAUAAUAAUAAAACAAAAAAAGAAAAAAUAAAAAAAAAACAAAAUAAAAAUAAAAAAUAAAAAUAUUAAUUAAUAUAUAAAAAAAGUCCCUUCGAAAUUUGACAUGAGGUACUUCAAAGUAUCCUCCCUGCCGAAAUUUCGGUUGAAAUGAUUAAAAAGACACGACUUUGAAAAUACAAUUAGACCUUUUAAAAUGACUUGACUGUUAUGACUAAAACUUUUAAAUAUAAAAUGCGUCUAAAAGUUAUAAAAAAAAUACAGAUGAAGUGAUUUUAACUGUUGUAAAAAGCGAGCAGAGACUUAAAUGCAAGAUGACAGUUUUUAAAUGAUUAAAGACGAAAAACACGAGUUUUAAAUGGUAAAAAAAACGAAUAAAAGAGCAGGUGGACUAUUAUAAAAUAUGGACAAAAAAGAUUUCAAAUGGUCCAAAUUUGGGGUAUGACACACGUGAUGAGCCGACUGCCCAUUUAACACCCGCCUCCUAUUGUUGGAAAGAUAUAUUUUCGGAUCCAUCCAUGCCCCUCGGAGUGCAACACGUGAGCAUAGGCAUUUCUGGUAUCAAAUCUGAAUUAGAUUUUAUCAGAUUUCUUCUUCUACAUUCUCCAAUGCUAGAAUAUGUGAUUUUGGAGCCUUAUGUAAAGAUCAGACCUGAGGUGAUGACAGAAGUAAACCAGUUGAAGAGAGUGUCAGAGACAGGCUGAAGUUAUUUACCGUGGAAAAGACUCUUCCUAAUGUUUUCUAUUCUCCUAAAAGUUUCAUUAUGGCUUUUAAGGUUGUUAUGAGUAAACUUUUCAAUGAUGUGGCAAAUUAUGACCGAUUGACAUUGUGAAUUUUUUAUAUUGAUAGUAUAUUUAAAUUGAAUAUUUUUUUAUUGAUAGUGUUUUUUACUCUCUCACUCAUUGUGCAGUAUCAAACCAUUGUACUUGCAUAAUUAAUUAGUAUAUUUUCCUAUUUGGGUUUUUAUCCUAUUGAAAGAUACACCUUAGUGCUUUUUCCUGAAUCAAAUGUUGCUGGUUUUGGAAGCAUUUAACAAGCAUUGUGAUUGAGCUUAAUGCAUAGAAAAAGGAGUAUUACCUAAGAAAGCUUUAUGCACAUCGAUAAUUUAAAAGGGGCGUGGGUUGUGUUAACGUCCUUGUUAAAGAAACAUUUAUAUUGAAAACAUUUUUUUACAUAUUUAAGACUUCGAAUACACAAGUUUCAAGAUAUUCAUACUAUAUUUGUUUCCUUAACUAAAAUAACAAAGUAAUUUCUCCUCUGCCGAGUUGUAGGUUCCUUAUCCAUACAAGUUUUUUCACUGUGCUUGUCCAAUGUUAUUACUGCUUUGUGACUCUUCAUUUUUAUUUGAUGUUUCAUGUUUCUUCAAUUAGUUAUUUGUCUAGAUCCCAAACUCAUUUUCCAGUACAUUUAACAGAUUUACAGUAAAUUUGGCUAUUUUUUGGUGUUUCCAAAUUCAUUAUUCCCUGCAUUUGCAAUAUUUGAUAAUAUGCUACAAAAUAUUCCAAGCUUCAAUCAACCAUAUGACAAGUUGCAAGAUAUAGUGAUAUACUACUAUAGAUAUUUGCAGGUAAUUUUUAUCUGGAAAGUUACUGAACGUGGUGCGUAAUGCUAAGAUUGAAUACUCAACACAUAUCAAUCCUUGGUUAUAUUAUCUGGCAAAUUUUUAUCUAAUUUAUCCCAUGGUGCUAACUGAUAAAAUAAUUUAUCAAUAGCUUUUUCAUAUGAGCUAAAUUGAAUAAAGACAAUGGUAAUCUUAACCAGCAGCACAAUAGGACCACCAUGUUUUACUAUAUGUCACUUUGAAAAAUAUAUUUGUGUUUUAAUAUAUGUUACUUUAAAAUAAAACAUUAAUGAUUUGUUUCCUAUCAUACCCUUUAGAAUUUAUUACUCCCUCUUCUAUCAAUUAUAUUAAUCUCUCUUUCCCAUUUCAGUAAUGAAGAAUAUAUGGCUAUCCUUCAAACCUUUUCUCAAGAGAUGAAACCAAAAUUUUCCUUCCUUUGCCUAUUUCAUAAAAAAAAAAAAAAAAAAAAAUCUUCCUUUGGUGGAAGGAUUUAUGUGCUUUAGGGAAGGGUAUGGAAAAUACACAAGAUUGAUUUUAGGAGUAUGCAAAGAAAAGCAUUAAUAAUGGGGAAUCAACAUUUUUUGGCAUGACAUUUGGUUGGGGGAAACUCUCUUACUUCUACUUUUUCAAGGCUUUAUUCGCAUACUAAUGUAUUGUGCAAGGCAAUUCUUGCCAAAAGAAUAACCAGGCGAGUCAUGUGGGGAGGUGAUUCGAUGAAGAGUGGCGUUGGGAGCUUGGUUAGAGGAGGGAGAUUUUUGGUAGGAAUAAUCAAGCUUGAGUGAUCUAGACAAGCGAUAUUUAUAGGUUCUCACAACUUCAAAUUUUUUUACGGUCAAAUCUUUAUUUGUUGCUUUGUGUAGCAAUCUUCUUCCUGCUUCAGAUUUGAGUGUGGUGUCUAGAAGGUGGUUAAGAGGAAUUUGGGCUAGUUUGACUCCGUAAAACGUUUACAUUUUUUGUUUUUGCCAACUAAACCUUUGGAGCAUAGUUUUAAAAUUCGGCUCGGUCAUCGACUCGGCGGGGAUACUGGGUCAAUGGGUCAAUGGUCGAAUCACUGAGUCAUUGGUCGAACCGCAUGACUGAACCGGAACCACUCGGAUGACUCGGUUAGAUAAUUCGGUCCUUAGAUUAAAUUUAUAUAGUUAUAUAACCGGAUUAACUCGGAUUGAAUCGGUGACUCGGUCACUUUAGAAACUAAAAUAAUGAAUUAUGACAUGGAAGCAGAUGAUCGAUCACAUACAUAAUAACUACAUUAGAUUAAACAUUAUAACAUGGAAUUAUGAAACAAUCAGAAUUAAACAUUAUAAAUCAGAAUUAAACAUUAACAUGGAAUUAACAUUAAACAAUCAGAAUCUAACAAUAAAACAGAGGAGUAAAUGGAGGUAGUGAAGUUUUAAAUCAAAACAAGAAAUCAACAAUAAAUCAAGAGAUGUUUUAAAUCAACAAUAAAUCAAAACAAUAAAACAAGAAAUCAACAAUAAAUCAAAACAAGAAAUCAAAAAGAAGCAAAGAAGAACAAUCUGGAAAAGAAAAAAAAAAGGUUUUUUCACGUAACGUACCGUAACUGUUUGACAACGACGACAACGUGGAGGACGGCAGCGUGGAGCGACGGCGACGGCGACCUAGAGACAAGCGGCGGUGACGGCAACUGGAGCGACGGCGGUUUGAACUUCUCAACUUCUCUUCUCUUCUCUCUGUACGUGAAAACAGAGUAGUGAAUGGAGGGAGUGAGGUUUUUAGAGUUCUGACCCUUCUAAUUCCACUUUUUUUUUUUUUAAAUUAAAAAUCCAAAACGACGUCGUUUUAGGCAAGCUAAAAAUAAUAUAAAAAAAACGGUCUGACCCACGACUCGGCCGAGUCACCGGUUUUUACUGAUUUUGACCGAGUUAACUGCAUAGCCGAUCCAAAUGUUGGCUCGAACCGGCUUACCCACCGGUCCGAGCCGAGUUUCAAAACUAUGCUUUGUAGACUUCCUACUUGGGGAAAUUUAUCUAGAAGAGGAGUGUUGUUGGAAGGAACAUCUUUGUCUUCCCACUUUUGAUUGUGCUUAGUUCGUUAAUUUUUUUAUUGGAGCAUAUCACAAUGAAAUAAAGAUUUGAGUUAUAUUUUCUUUAUUGUAGAGAAAUUGUUUCUAUUAUAAUGAGAUUUUUUUUCUUCUUAACAUGACAAAGUGAAAUAUAUUAGCAAACUGAAACAGUCUUCCAACACAAGGAGUUCUUAAGAAGACCUCAAAAAGUGAUAUACAAAGUUAACAUAACAAGUUUGAAAAUAAAGAGAACAAGAAUGGGAGAAAAAAUCUAAGUUACAAUUGAUAGGCAAAUAAAAGGAUUAAGCCUCCAAUAAGUAUAGUCGAAAUCGAAAGUCACAUAAGUCGAUUUCAACCACCAAAAUAAAUGGAGCUUUACUUUUUUGCAUAAAAAGUGUAAUUGUUCCUCCUUAUGCUAAAAGGCGCAUCUAUUUCUCUCUUCCAUAUAACCCAAACAACUGAAAUCCAAAUAAUGUUAAACACCUUGCAUAUUUAUUUUGGAAAGCCUCAUAAGCCACUAAACUGAUCAAGAUGACCCAUCAACUUCCCCUGAACUGCAGUUGAAAAACCUAACCAACCACAUACAACCUGGCGAAUCUUUCCAUAAAAAUCACAUGUAACAAAUUGAUGUUCUCUAUCCUCAUUCAUACCACAUCCUCCGGUGCAAGUUUGAUCAUUGGAGGAGAGGACAUGCUGUUGCACUAAAUUAUCCUUAUAGGAAGGUGGUUCAAAAGCAAGCGCCAAAUUAAAGACACCGCUUUCAACCACAAAAGCUGCUUGUUGUUAUUACUAUCGUUAUAAUGAAAGUCAUUACCAACAUUCUUGGUCAAACUGUAAUAAGCGCUACGAACAGUGUAACGAUGAAAAGAAUGAAGCUUUCAAACCCACUAACCCUCCACAUCAACCUGCAAGACACUAGAAGUUAACAACUCAAUACACUCCCUCACUAACUCCUCUUCCCAAUCAAAGAGCUUAUGCCGUCACUUCCACGCCUCUCCAUUGACUCCAUAUAAUCUUCAUUUUGUUCUUAGCUAACUCAUAUAAUCUAUCGAACCGAACAAAAAAGGUACACCAUCCAACCCAUGGUCCCUCCAAAAUAGAGUGCUCUCAACCAAUAUUAUAACUAAUCAACCAACAUUCGCCAAACAACCACCCUCUCUAAUCCUAUUCAAAUGUUGCCUUAACAUAACCUCUUCCUUCCACAAAACACAAUCUCCCAUCUUUCUCUCCAUACCCAGCACAAAGCACCUUAUACCAUAAACUUCUCAUUUCCUCCAAAACCCUCCAACACCAUUUCACAAGUAGUAAAGCUAAAUUAAAAUCCUUCGAUCUCCUAAUCAUCAAACCACCAUUAUAUUUUUUUCCAUCCAAAUAGUGUCCCAUUUAAUCCGAGAAAUUUUCCUAAAAUAUUCACCACCACCCCAAAAAAUACAUUAAAGAUAGAUUUAAGAGAAAAGAUAAUACAUGAGGGAGCCUUGAAGAAGGAAAUAAAAUAGACAGGUAUGGAUGACAAAACAUAUUUUAGAAGAAUCAGACGAAGAGAGCGUUAGAUUUGUAGGCAUGAGAGCAAGCAAGCAACGGUAAUGACAAUUUUGAAUAUAUUGUUACAUAUUACAUUUUUUUUUUAUGGGAAGGUGAUAACUUUGUAACAAUAUUUUAGGUGUUUAAUAAUCCUUCUUAUUGUCAUAGUUAGAAUGGUAAACAAAUUCUAUAGUCUAUCAUUAGAAGUUACCCUUUUUG